CUACCAGGGAGUGGAGUCCCAGGGAAGCCAACUGGGUCCCUGAAGUCAGCUGGUCACCAUAGCGGUCCAGAAGCACCAGAGCCGCUCCGUUGGUCCAACCAAAUCCUUCCUGGAGAGAGGCCAGAUCACUGAGGCUCCCAAGACCUGUUUUGGGGAUCCCCCCUCCCCAAUGAUGGUGGCCUCAGGGGCACAGGGGCAGUUGAGGAGAUCGGGAGUAUCGAGGACCGGCACGGGGCCCCUUGGGUCCUUCUUCGGCCUGUUUCUGCCAGGUCUAAGUGUGUUAGCAGGGAGCUCAACCUGCCUCGAUCACUGUCAGCAAGCAGCAGAAUGGGGAUCAGCUUUUUCCAGAUCUGGUGCAGUUGCUCCGCCCAGGCACGCAGCUUGGCAUCUGAGAUCUUUUGCAGGAACUGAGGGCUAGAAAAG